UGAGUGACGCGCUGCUGAUCUGAGGAACACCGAGGAGCUGAGGAGAGAGAGAGAGAGAGUGUGUGUGUGAGAGAGAGAGAGAUGACAGAGCCACAGCGGAAGAGGCAGAAGCUAGAGGAGUCUGAACACUUGCACAGCUCUGCAGGUGAGCACACACACACUCCUCCUCGCUCCUCCAGGCAGACUCAGCUCUCUCUGCACCGCUGGCUGAAGCCAAAGAGCCGCUCUCCGGAGACCCCAGACACCCCGAUCCAGCACACACCGACCCAGCACACUGUGACCCAGCACACACCCUCUGGCUCCGAGCCCCGCAGGAUCCCGCAGUUGUUCAGCAGAGGCCCGGGCAGUGACCGCCGGCUGGCCUGUAUCUCCUCUACUCUGGACUCCUCUUGUGUGUGUGUGUGUGUGUGUGUGUGUGUGUGUGUGUGUGUGUGUGCGUGUGUGUGUGCCGGCUGGCCUGUAUCUCCUCUACUCUGGACUCCUCUUGUGUGUGUGUGUGUGUGUGUGUGUGUGCGUGUGUGUGUGUGUGUGUGUGCGUGUGUGUGUGCCGGCUGGCCUGUAUCUCCUCUACUCUGGACUCCUCUUGUGUGUUCUCCUGUGCUGAUGGUUAUUGAUGAUGAGGCUGAUCUUCAUCAUGUUGCAGCAGUGCAGGGGGAUGAUGUGGGUCAGCUCAUACACACACCGUGUUUCCCCGCCGGGUUGUCCUCAUCACACUGCGGGAGAGGAUGCAGGACUCCACCCUGAGCUCUGAAUAUCGAGGACAGACCAAUCAGAGAGCAGAAUGUCUGCAGCCCCGCCUCCGUCUUCAGAUGUCUCCGUUUCCAAGGCGGGAAAUCUCCGAAAAGAGGAACCGCAGCAGCAAGUGUAAACUGGGCCCGAGCUGAUGCUGGAGCCGCCCGAGCCCGAGCCUGACCCGGAGGAGGAGGAGGAGGAGCAGGAGGAGCAGGAGGAGCUGAGGAGGCGCUGCGGGGAAAGCGAAAGUGAAAGUGCAGAAGGCGAGGGAGAGAGAGUCCGACAGCCGCUCUGCGAAUGGACGGGAAUACACCAUCAUCAUCAUCAUCCUCAUCCUCACCGGCGGCGGAGGGUUCGCAUCCCGGCUGGAUGAGUGUGUGUGUGUGCGCGUGUGUGUUCCUGAUCCUGUGUCCGCUCGCGCUGCUCAGAGCCGCCGCGGUGUGUGUUUCAGUCAUAUAAUGCAGAAUACAGCGCUGUGUGUGUGUGUGUGUGUGUGUGUGUGUGUGUGUGUGUGUGUGUGUAUAUAUGACGGAUCUGUUCCUCCAGAACCUGACGCAGCUCUGCGCCAUGAUGAAGGCCCGCUGGAUCACACACACCGCCCACCGGAAGCGCUCGUGGCUUAGCUUCCUCAGAUCUGCCGCGUGAGACUUUCAUGAUGAUAAUAAUAAUAGCACACACACACACACACUAACACACACACUAACACACACACACACACACACUAACACAC